UGGGGAAUCUUCCGCAAUGGACGAAAGUCUGACGGAGCAACGCCGCGUGAGUGAUGACGGCCUUCGGGUUGUAAAGCUCUGUUAAUCGGGACGAAUGGUUCUUGUGCGAAUAGUGCGAGGAUUUGACGGUACCGGAAUAGAAAGCCACGGCUAACUACGUGCCAGCAGCCGCGGUAAUACGUAGGUGGCAAGCGUUGUCCGGAAUUAUUGGGCGUAAAGCGCGCGCAGGCGGAUUGGUCAGUCUGUCUUAAAAGUUCGGGGCUUAACCCCGUGAUGAGAUGGAAACUGCCAAUCUAGAGUAUCGGAGAGGAAAGUGGAAUUCCUAGUGUAGCGGUGAAAUGCGUAGAUAUUAGGAAGAACACCAGUGGCGAAGGCGACGUUCUGGACGAAAACUGACGCUGAGGCGCGAAAGCCAGGGGAGCGAACGGG
rnacentral:rRNA from 1 species